rnacentral:tRNA from 1 species
GGGCCCGUAGCUCAGUCUGGCAGAGCACUGGCCUUUUAAGCCAGGUGUCCGGGGUUCAAUUCCCCGCGGGCCCG